AGCUUCUGCAGUACAGGAUGUGUGUCAGG
rnacentral:piRNA from 1 species